GAUAAGAACGCAGCGAAAUGCGAUAAGUAAUGUGAAUUGCAGAAUUCAGUGAAUCAUCGAAUCUUUGAACGCACAUUGCGCCCGCCAGUAUUCUGGCGGGCAUGCCUGUUCGAGCGUCAUUACAACCCUCAGGCCCCCGGGCCUGGCGUUGGGGAUCGGCGGAGCCCCCCGUGGGCACACGCCGUCCCCCAAAUACAGUGGCGGUCCCGCCGCAGCUUCCAUCGCGUAGUAGCUAACACCUCGCGACUGGAGAGCGGCGCGGCCACGCCGUAAAACACCCAACUCUUCUGAAGUUGACCUCGAAUCAGGUAGGAAUACCCGCUGAACUUAAGCAUAUCAAUAAGCGGAGGA
rnacentral:misc_RNA from 1 species